CCAUUGCCAAAGCUGGGAAAGUCCCAGGCACACGGCGGCGAUGUUGAUUAGUCUCUGGGAAAUUCAGGGAAGUGCAGUCUUGGAGAUCGGGCUCUGUAAGUGGCGGGCUCCGGCUUUUCUUUAGUUUUAGUUAACAAGCAUGUCUUAGUGGGAAAAGGUGACUAAAAGCACUGACGUGCCUUAGGUCUGUUCUAAAUGGAUUAAUGAAUGCUGAGCCUGUCACUGGAAUUGGCUUUUUUUGUGUGGCUUUUUUUCCUCAGCCAUGGUGAUGGAUUUGUGGGAGACGUUGGGCCCGCCGAGAAUCACAGCCUGCAGUCACGGAACCGGACACUGGGAUUUGAGCCACCAAAGGGAACACAGUGAAGUAAUCAGCUCUGAAUGACCCUGGAUAUGUUUCAAAGGCUUUGUACCCUUUGACUUUUUUAACUGAUUCUCAUGAGCCAUGGACCUCUGGGGCCAUCGUGACUUCCCACAAGAUCAGGCACAUAGCAGGCACUUGUGCCCACACGUGUUCUUCCUCUCGUGGAUCCACCAUACCACGGGAGCUGCGGGGAGACUCCACAGUGGCCAUUUGAGUUGGUGCUCUUGCUGCUCUGCCCUCUUGAGGCCUGGUUCUUCAUCAUUUCCUGGCUUAGGCUCCCUGGUUGGGCACAGAGAGGAAGUCACUGUCUUUGGAUUUUCAGGACACCUGGAGUUUCCUUAGACUCCCUUUAUGCCACCUCACCUCUGCCCACUGCUACCUAGACUUUCCCUCCCAGGUGUUGUCACUGGCUGAACUUAUAGUUUGGAAUAAAACUAAGCAAUUUUAUUAAUUGUCA
rnacentral:lncRNA from 1 species